CACUGUUGUAUUUACAGAAGUUGUAUGAGAAUAAGCUACAGGUUGAUUUAUACUAAUCUGUUAUUUUUCUUUUUUAGCACGACUGACUGAAGUUUUAAAAUCAUGCAACGUCAUAAAGCAGCAGCUGGGCCUGAUUCUCACAAAACCAAAACAGACGUGAUGAAAUUCCAGAUGUGAACACAUUUGACCUUCCUUUGGCCAAUUUGAUUUGGAAAAGCUUGAAAAUCAACUAAAGGAGCAGCCCGAACAAAUGAAGAAACUGAUGGAGUGAGGACAAAUGUUCAUACCACGCCACUGAUAAAGAAGUGGAAAAAUGCAUUACAAGGUAGCUACAACUCGCCCUGACAGGGAUGGAGGAAGAAAGAAGAGAAAGCUAAUGUGUCAAAUGUCUACAUCACUAUUUUGUUUUAUUUUUUUUAAACAACAUUUUAAGUGUAUUAGGAUGUUCCCUGAUACUUGAACAAUUUGUUUCUUUCAUUUGCAUUUAUAUAUAUAUAUAUGUAUAUGUAUAUAUAUAUGUGUGUGUGUGUGUGUGUAUAUAUAUGUAUGGUAUGUAUGUGUGUGCGCCAAAUUCUGAAGAAAGAAACAUCUUGAUACAUUUUUAAUAAACGUAAUACAAAUAAAAUUAUAAAUAUAAAAUUGCACAAGACGUGUGUAUAUAUGAAAUGUAUAUGUUUGUGCAAUUGAUUUUGUUCAAGUUUAUUUAAAAAAAAAAGUUUGACUUUAUACUUCUGCAAUUAUAUAUAUAUAUAUAUAUAUAUAUAUAUAUAUAUAUAUAUAUAUAUAUAUAUUUGUUUGUUUAUUAUUAUUUUAAUGUUUUAUUAAAAAUGUUUCAAGAUGUUUCUUCAGAAUUCUGCAGUACUUUUUACAAGUUUGACUUGGAUAUUUUACGGAUUGUCAUUGGUAUUUUUAAGAUGUUUCUUGCUAUAUCUUAAAUUGGUUUAUAUAUUUAGGUU
ensembl:processed_transcript